CGGCCGCGUCGACUGAUCAUUCCCAGCACGCUGGCGGCGCGGGCGGACAAGUCAAUGAGCCGAUCGCCCACAUAGGGACCGCGGUCAUUAAUGCGGACGAUUACGGUGCGGCCGUUGUCGAGAUUCCUCACCAUGACUCUAGUUCCGAAGGGCAAGUGGCGGUGGGCUGCGGUCAAAUCAUCUUGGUUAAAACGCUCGCCGCUGGCGCUGAGGUUGCCGUUAAAGCCUGGGCCGUACCAGGAAGCCCAGCCGCUGAGCCGCACUUGAACUGGGCCCAGAGACAGCACGGGGGGUUCUGGUUGGGGUUUGCCUGCGACUUCUUCCAGGGGUGGGGCGUUGCCUAGCAGCUUGUUGGUGGGGUGAUGGCCUACCAAGGCGGUGACGGGUAGCCGGCCUGAGAGGGUGGACGGUCACACUGGGACUGAGACACGGCCCAGACUCCUACGGGAGGCAGCAGUGGGGAAUAUUGCACAAUGGGCGCAAGCCUGA
rnacentral:rRNA from 1 species